rnacentral:rRNA from 1 species
GACGAACGCUGGCGGCGUGCUUAACACAUGCAAGUCGAACGGAAAGGCCCCUUUGGGGGUACUCGAGUGGCGAACGGGUGAGUAACACGUGAGUAACCUGCCCUUGACUUCGGGAUAACUUCAGGAAACUGGGGCUAAUACCGGAUAGGAAUCCUUGCUGCAUGUUGGGGGUUGGAAAGCUUCGGCGGUUUUGGAUGGACUCGCGGCUUAUCAGCUUGUUGGUGGGGUAGUGGCUUACCAAGGCUUUGACGGGGAGCCGGCCUGAGAGGGCGACCGGCCACAUUGGGACUGAGAUACGGCCCAGACUCCUACGGGAGGCAGCAGGGGGGAAUAUUGCACAAUGGGCGGAAGCCUGAUGCAGCAACGCCGCGUGCGGGAUGACGGCCUUCGGGUUGUAAACCGCUUUCAGCAGGGGCGAAGCUUGUGGUGACGGUACCUGCAGAAGAAGCACCGGCUAACUACGUG